AGCAGCCGCGGUAAUCCCAGCUCCAAUAGCGUAUAUUAAAAGUUGUUGCAGUUAAAAAGCUCGUAGUUGAAUUUCGGGAUCAAUAUAUCGGUCGUGCCAUUGGUACGUACUGGUAUCAUUGGUUUCUCCUUUCUGACGAACCAUGAUGUCAUUAAUUUGGUGUUAUGGGAAGUUAGGACUGUUACUUUGAAAAAAAUUAGAGUGUUUAAAAGCAGGCUUUAGCUUGAAUACAUUAGCAUGGAAUAAUGAAAAUAGGACGUUCGAACCUAUUUUGUUGGUUUCUAGGAUCAACGUAAUGAUUAAUAGGGAUAGUUGGGGGCAUUAGUAUUCAAUUGUCAGAGGUGAAAUUCUUGGAUUUAUUGAAGACUAACUACUGCGAAAGCAUUUGCCAAGGAUGUUUUCAUUAAUCAAGAACGAAAGUUAGGGGAUCGAAGACGAUCAGAUACCGUCGCAGUCUUAACCAUAAACUAUGCCGACUAGGGAUCGGAUGAUGUUAAUUUUUUCAAUGACUCAUUCGGCG
rnacentral:rRNA from 1 species